AUGGCCUCCGCCAAUGCUCUGCUCCUGCUCUUCGCGGCCGCCUUCUGCCUCCUCGCCCGGCGGGCCGCCGGCGACUACGGCUCGUGGCAGAGCGCCCACGCCACCUUCUACGGCGGCGGCGACGCGUCCGGCACAAUGGGCGGCGCGUGCGGCUACGGGAACCUGUACAGCACGGGGUACGGCACGAACACGGCGGCGCUGAGCACGGCGCUGUUCAACGACGGCGCGGCGUGCGGGUCGUGCUACGAGCUCAAGUGCCAGGACGUGAGCAGCUCCUGCCUGCCGGGCAGCAUCACCAUCACCGCCACCAACCUCUGCCCGCCCAACUACGCGCUGCCCAACGACGACGGAGGCUGGUGCAACCCGCCGCGCGCCCACUUCGACAUGGCCGAGCCCGCCUACCUCCAGAUCGGCAUCUACCGCGCCGGCAUCGUCGCCGUCGCCUACCGGAGGGUGCCGUGUGUGAAGAAGGGCGGGAUCAGGUUCACCAUCAACGGCCACUCCUACUUCAACCUGGUGCUGGUGACCAACGUGGCCGGCGCCGGCGACGUGCAGUCGGUGGCCAUCAAGGGGUCCAGCACCGGGUGGCAGGCCAUGGCCCGCAACUGGGGCCAGAACUGGCAGAGCAACGCGGACCUCGACGGCCAGAGCCUCUCCUUCCGGGUCACCCUCAGCGACGGCCGCACCGUCACCAGUAACAACGUCGCCCCCGCCGGCUGGGCCUUCGGCCAGACCUUCGAAGGAAGCCAGUUCUAG
rnacentral:rRNA from 1 species